rnacentral:rRNA from 1 species
GACGAACGCUGGCGGCGUGCUUAACACAUGCAAGUCGAACGCAGUGGCGGACGGGUGAGUACCGCGUAUUCAACCUGCCCUUCAGAGGGGGACAACAGUUGGAAACGACUACUCAUACCGCCUACUGAAGACGGGGCUUGCGUCUGAUUAGCUAGUUGGAGGGGUAACGGCCCACCAAGGCGAUGAUCAGUAGCCGGUCUGAGAGGAUGAACGGCCACAUUGGGACUGAGACACGGCCCAGACUCCUACGGGAGGCAGCAGUGGGGAAUCUUCCGCAAUGGACGAAAGUCUGACGGAGCAACGCCGCGUGAUUGAUGACGGCCUUCGGGUUGUAAAGCUCUGUUAAUCGGGACGCGGUACCGGAAUAGAAAGCCACGGCUAACUACGUGCCAGCAGCCGCGGUAAUAC